rnacentral:rRNA from 1 species
CUAUUUAGGUAGCGCCUCGUGAAUUCAUCUCCGGGGGUAGAGCACUGUUUCGGCUAGGGGGCCAUCCCGGCUUACCAACCCGAUGCAAACUGCGAAUACCGGAGAAUGUUAUCACGGGAGACACACGGCGGGUGCUAACGUCCGUCGUGAAGAGGGAAACAACCCAGACCGCCAGCUAAGGUCCCAAAGUCAUGGUUAAGUGGGAAACGAUGUGGGAAGGCCCAGACAGCCAGGAUGUUGGCUUAGAAGCAGCCAUCAUUUAAAGAAAGCGUAAUAGCUCACUGGUCGAGUCGGCCUGCGCGGAAGAUGUAACGGGGCUAAACCAUGCACCGAAGCUGCGGCAGCGAACGUAUCACUUAAAGCGAUUCAGCGGGUUACGAUUGACGGAGCGAAGCGACGUCAAAGCGUAUACAAAGUCGAGUCGGUUUAAGGAUACGUUCGUUGGGUAGGGGAGCGUUCUGUAAGCCUGUGAAGGUGGCCUGUGAGGGUUGCUGGAGGUAUCAGAAGUGCGAAUGCUGAUAUAAGUAACGAUAAAGCGGGUGAAAAGCCCGCUCGCCGGAAGACCAAGGGUUCCUGUCCAACGUUAAUCGGGGCAGGGUGAGUCGACCCCUAAGGCGAGGCCGAAAGGCGUAGUCGAUGGGAAACGGGUUAAUAUUCCCGUACUUGGUGUUACUGCGAAGGGGGGACGGAGAAGGCUAUGUUGGCCGGGCGACGGUUGUCCCGGUUUAAGCGUGUAGGUGUGUGUUCCAGGUAAAUCCGGUUCACUUUAACACUGAGGCGUGAUGACGAGGCACUACGGUGCUGAAGCAACAAAUGCCCUGCUUCCAGGAAAAGCCUCUAAGCAUCAGGUAACACGAAAUCGUACCCCAAACCGACACAGGUGGUCAGGUAGAGAAUACCAAGGCGCUUGAGAGAACUCGGGUGAAGGAACUAGGCAAAAUGGUGCCGUAACUUCGGGAGAAGGCACGCUGACACGUAGGUGAAGUGAUUUACUCACGGAGCUGAAGUCAGUCGAAGAUACCAGCUGGCUGCAACUGUUUAUUAAAAACACAGCACUGUGCAAACACGAAAGUGGACGUAUACGGUGUGACGCCUGCCCGGUGCCGGAAGGUUAAUUGAUGGGGUCAGCGCAAGCGAAGCUCCUGAUCGAAGCCCCGGUAAACGGCGGCCGUAACUAUAACGGUCCUAAGGUAGCGACAUUCCUUGUCGGGUAAGUUCCGCCUUGCACGCAUGGCGUACUGAUGGCCAGGUUGUCUGCACCCGCGACACAGUGCAAUUGAACUCGCUGUGAAGAUGCAGUGUACCCGCGGCAAG